rnacentral:misc_RNA from 1 species
GAUGAAGAACGCAGCGAAAUGCGAUAAGUAGUGUGAAUUGCAGAAUUCAGUGAAUCAUCGAAUCUUUGAACGCACAUUGCGCCCCUCGGUAUUCCGUGGGGCACGCCUGUUCGAGCGUCAUUUACACCCUCAAGCGCAGCUUGGUGUUAGGCGUCUGUCCCGCUCUCCGUAGCGCGGACUCGCCUCAAAGUCAUUGGCGGCGGUCGUGCCGGCUCCUCGCGCAGCACAUUUGCGCUUCUCGGAGGCCCGGCGGAUCGGCAUCCAGCAAGCUACUUUUUAUGACUUGACCUCGGAUCAGGUGAGGAUACCCGCUGAACUUAAGCAUAUCAAUAAGCGGAGGA